GGUUAUAGCUUAGUGGUAGAGAGUGUGCUUAGCAUGCUCAAGGCCCUAGGAUCAAUCAUUAGUACCA
rnacentral:tRNA from 1 species